CUUGAAUAGUUUCUCCAAGGUCACCUCCACAGCUCUGCAGGCUUCCUUCCUGCCACUUUGAAACAGUUGCCAUGCAUAACGGUGCCUUUUCGAAUGGAUGCUCAAUCUUUUCACAGUAGUCCAAGGUGUUUGGAAGAAAUGCAGAAGAAAGCACAGCCUGAUGAACAAUCAUAUAAACAUGUAGAAUAUAUGCCCUCAAGAAGGUUCAAGACCUCUCCAAAUCCAGUUGCUAUUGCUUGGGUCAUUGGUUUUCCCUCUGCAUUCGCCCUUUUCUUCCUUGCUAAGAGACAGGUGGAAAAGAAACGUGUGAAACAGAUGAAAGCUCGCCGACAGAUGAUGGCAGCCAAUAAAGAAGAUAAUUUGACCCAAAGAACAGAAAAGCAUCUAGACACUAAGACUAGUUGAACUGUACACUUCAAUCAUUAAGUUACUGCCUUCAGAUUCUCAAAUUCUAGUACUUAAUUGGAGCAGAGUACUGUGCUGCAGAGCAGUUCCAAUUUCUCAAGUCUGCAUUUCUAUGGAUCAAAGUUAUCAAUAAAUUACCAUCAAGAUUACUGCAAUAAUCCUCUACAUCAGGGGUAUCUCAGGCAAGAAACAGCCGCCUGGCUUUAAGUGUAUUGUGCUUUUCUUACUUUGAAGGGAUUUCAUGCUAAAUCUGGAUAAAUGAAGAUGAAAUCGCAGGAGCUGUGAUCAUGUGGGUCACGAGAAUCCAACAAAACCACUUAUACUUUAUUUUUUUCUUUUUUGUGAGCCAUGUUUUCUGAAUAAUUGUGGGUUCUUUCAGUUAUAUCCCAUCAUAUUCUGGGUAGCAAAUGAAACCAGAUCACACCAUUCUAUCUUACCAAAAUUUAUGUAAAAUAUUGAACUCAUUAAAUAUUUGAAAAAUUUUAAAGUGCGGGUUAGUUUAUUACAGAUACUUAAGAAGAAUCCAAGCAAACUUGCAGUUUUGAGUGAUUGGCAAGCUAAUUGGUUCCAUUUCAACAGUUAGGCAAGAUGACACCCAGAUUUUACAUGCAGGUUUUAGCCUAAUCUUAGGAUCCUAAAAAUAAUGAUAAAAUUACAGGGUCCUUUUUAAUGUAUCAAAUUGAACAGUACAUUGUUGGAAGGAAAUUCUGUUUGCAGUUACUGCUGACAAAUUGUUACUACUAUUUUUACAUCUCAUUAAAAUUUCUGCUUUCUA